UCACGAAAGAUGUGUAUCGCAACUUAU
rnacentral:piRNA from 1 species